UACGUAGGUGGCAAGCGUUGUCCGGAUUUAUUGGGCUUAAAGGGUGCGUAGGCGGUUUUAUAAGUCAGUGGUGAAAUCCAACAGCUUAACUGUUGAGUGGCCAUUGAUACUGUAAGACUUGAGUACAGACGAGGUAGGCGGAAUUGACGGUGUAGCGGUGAAAUGCUUAGAUAUCGGGAAGAACACCGAUAGCGAAGGCAGCUUACUAGACUGUAACUGACGCUGAGGCGCGAAAGUGUGGGGAGCAAACAGG
rnacentral:rRNA from 1 species